GUAGGUAUUGGACCUGAUGUUUGGGAGACUUUAUCAUGGCAUGCUGUUGACAGUAGGUAUUGGACCUGAUGUUUGGGAGACUUUAUCACAGCAUGCUGUUGACAGUAGGUAUUGGUCCUGAUAUUUGGGAGACUUUAUCAUGACAUGCUGUUGACAGUAGGUAUUGGUCCUGAUGUUUGGGAGACUUUAUCACAGCAUGCUGUUGACAGUAGGUAUUGGUCCUGAUAUUUGGGAGACUUUAUCAUGGCAUGCUGUUGACAGUAGGUAUUGGUCCUGAUAUUUGGGAGACUUUAUCAUGGCAUGCUGUUGACAGUAGGUAUUGGUCCUGAUGUUUGGGAGACUUUAUCACAGCAUGCUGUUGACAGUAGGCAUUGGUCCUGAUAUUUGGGAGACUUUAUCACAGCAUGCUGUUGACAGUAGGUAUUGGUCCUGAUAUUUGGGAGACUUUAUCAUGGCAUGCUGUUGACAGUAGGUAUUGGUCCUGAUAUUUGGGAGACUUUAUCACAGCAUGCUGUUGACAGUAGGUAUUGGUCCUGAUGUUUGGGAGACUUUAUCAUGGCAUGCUGUUGACAGUAGGUAUUGGUCCUGAUAUUUGGGAGACUUUAUCACAGCAUGCUGUUGACAGUAGGUAUUGGUCCUGAUAUUUGGGAGACUUUAUCACAGCAUGCUGUUGACAGUAGGUAUUGGUCCUGAUG